GACGAAUGCUGGCGGCGUGCUUAACACAUGCAAGUCGAACGGAAAGGCCCUGCUUGCAGGGUACUCGAGUGGCGAACGGGUGAGUAACACGUGGGUGAUCUGCCCUGCACUUCGGGAUAAGCCUGGGAAACUGGGUCUAAUACCGGAUAGGAGCCAUUUUUAGUGUGAUGGUUGGAAAGUUUUUUCGGUGUAGGAUGAGCUCGCGGCCUAUCAGCUUGUUGGUGGGGUAAUGGCCUACCAAGGCGGCGACGGGUAGCCGGCCUGAGAGGGUGGACGGCCACAUUGGGACUGAGAUACGGCCCAGACUCCUACGGGAGGCAGCAGUGGGGAAUAUUGCACAAUGGGCGCAAGCCUGAUGCAGCGACGCCGCGUGGGGGAUGACGGCCUUCGGGUUGGAAACUCCUUUCGCUAGGGACGAAGCUUUUUGUGACGGUACCUAGAUAAGAAGCACCGGCUAACUACGUG
rnacentral:rRNA from 1 species